AGAUAGAGAGUGUGUGUGAGAGAGAGAUAUGGGAGGAUUUGUGGAGGGAUUUUAGGGAUUUUCUUAGAGAGGGAGAUGAGACAGAGAGAGAGAGAGAGAUUUCAGCGAUUUGAAAAUUCAUCCCCUUCACACAAGCUCUGCAAAUCAGUCUUCCUUUCUUUUCUAUCUGCCGUUUGCAUAUUUCUCUCGCCAAUUAUCGACGCCGGUUCUUGGUCAGAAACUUUUGCGCUCUUGCAAAAUUCUUUUGUUUGAAAACCCUCAACCCUUACAAGUUUCUGCCUUUUUUGAAUUCGGUCGGAAUCCAAUUUCUUGCUCACAUAACCUAGCGUUUCCUGGAAAGGCUGGGGUUCGAAUUAUGGGGUUUUUGCAUACAAGAUUGGAAGCCCUUUCUUAUCAAGUUGGAAGAAAAUGGAAACCCUAUCAAAGUCUGUAACUACAAGCAAACAUGAGGAGGCACAAAUUGGAUUGAGUGAGAGAUAUAUGUUUUGGAAUCAGACAGAAUCCCUUUAACCACGGAGACUAUUUUUGUUGCUUCCUUAUGCACACGAGGCAAUUCCACGAGGUGAUUCUGAGCAGAGAGUACUCAAGGAGUGCAUGUUUCAGGACCUGAGCUGGGGGAACAAGAAGCAUCGGUUUGUUUCGAGAUUUUUAAUGGUGUGCUUGCUCUUGAAUUGGCUAGAGAUGGUGCAGCAGCUGCUCAAUCAGCUCAGCGUCGUGGUUGAUAAGCGCAAGAGGACCUUCCAGACAAGUGAAUGAAAAGGGAAAUAGUUAUUGGGAAAAGAAUUGCCACCAAAUUUUGGGACUGAGAAAGCUAUUUGUGCCAAGUAUGAGGGAAGACUGGGUUGCGAAGAAUGCAAAACAACCAGCUCCUAAACCAGUAGAUAUGAGCAUCAGUUCCAAUAGUUUGGUAAAGGAUGGAGCCACAUGUGGAGCUCCAAAGGAAACAAGGAGACAUUCUCUUGAGGAAGCGAUGCUUUUUACGGUGGCGGAAGCUGCUCCUCCAGUGGCAAGACCCCGUGGGGUAGAUUUUAACUAGAUCUAUCUUUCACAGUUGCAAAAUAAUGGUCAGUUGGUGCGACGAUAUUGACUUCACUAAUGGACAUGAAAAGGAGACAUGGUAUGGUAAAGAUUUACUUUUCAGCAUCCGACAACACUGAUAUGGCAUUUGGUGUAUACUUUGCUUUUGAAUCCCAAUCGGAAUUAUGCCCCUCUCAGUGCUGAGGAUCCUGGAAAUUCCAGGUCUCUCUUCUCUUUCCCUCUCCCUAUGUGUAGUUUAAUAUAAUUGAACAACUCUGUUUGAUUUAAGAUUUAGUUGGAAGUGUUUGAGAUUUAAUUAAGUGAAAAUUUAGUUCAAUAGUAGAAAAUAAAUGGAACAUUCAGAUAGUGGAGAAAGAAAGAAGCCUUUUAGGAUUUUAGAAGUUGCGGUCCAUGAAGAUGAUUCACUAGAGAGAAGCAUUAUGAUUUGUGGAUUUUCAUAUUUGAAUUAGUUCUAUUAUGUUUGCGAUGUGAGUUCCUGAAAUGGUUUGGUUCUUCUUGGACCCUGCAAUGCAAGAAGGUUAUUGAAAACCUUUUAGUAAGUUUGGGACGUUUGUAAUUACUAAAAUUUUGUUGCAAGAAAUUGGGGGAUGAAUUUGGGUUUCGGGGGAAUGUUAUCCUUUUUUAUUCUUAUACUGCACCCAAAAAAAAAAAAAAAAGCAUUGGGUGCAAGUAUGUGUUUUUUAACAUUUAUUUCUGUAGUGUGAAAGUCAAUUGCGUUUUUUUUUGCUGCGGGUUGCACUGACUCUUGGUCUACCCCCAACAUUGGUCUUUAAAUGUGGAAGAGGAAGCGCGUCCAUCCCACCCACCAAAAAAUGGUUAGAGCCUUAGAGGUGAAUGGUGUUCUUUUCUUUAGACAAGUUUUUGGAAACAAUAUUAUUUGAAUUUUUUAUAUUUUAACAAGCAAGUGAAGCCAAGUUUUAGUGAUUUUGAUGCAUAUUUUAUUAGUGAUUUUGACGCCACCAACCUUAUCUCAGUGUAUCACUUUUGACGUUUUAUUCAGCUUCCUUUGGUAAUUGUACUUAAUGAAUAGGAUUUUAGAUGUUUUCAUUUGCGGUUCAUUUAGUCAGUCAAGGUAUUAAUUUGUUUCAAUUAUGUUCAUAAAGUUUGAUUAAACUCUUCAUUUUCAAUUGUACCAAUUAGGCUCAUAAAGUGGUUCAAAGAGCUUCAAGAGCUUGAUUCACUCAAUUUAUACUUUUCAUGUAAAACUUUUUUCAAAAAGUUGAAACAUCUUUCAGUGUAGAUAACAUUAAUCAUUUGUAACAAUCUUUUAUCCUUUUGAAACAUAUUUUUUCAU